rnacentral:ncRNA from 2 species
GAAUUGAAUAUAGAGAAAACUCAUAUAGUGUCCGAUAAUGUGGUUCGACAGUCUCUACAGAAUGACCUUAAAUCAUUCUACUAUGAGUGAACAUGUCUUUUUG